CGGGUGAGUAAUGCGUGACCAACCUGCCCCAUGCUCCAGAAUAGCUCUUGGAAACGGGUGGUAAUGCUGGAUGCUCCAACUUGACGCAUGUCUUGUUGGGAAAGUGUUUAGUGGCAUGGGAUGGGGUCGCGUCCUAUCAGCUUGUAGGCGGGGUAAUGGCCCACCUAGGCUUCGACGGGUAGCCGGCCUGAGAGGGCGGACGGCCACAUUGGGACUGAGAUACGGCCCAGACUCCUACGGGAGGCAGCAGAG
rnacentral:rRNA from 1 species